UAAGUAUAAGCACUUGUACUGUGAAACUGCGAAUGGCUCAUUAAAUCAGUUAUCGUUUAUUUGAUUGUACUUUACUACAUGGAUACCUGUGGUAAUUCUAGAGCUAAUACAUGCGAAAAAUCCCGACUUCUGGAAGGGAUGUAUUUAUUAGAUUAAAAACCAAUGCGAGUCUUCGGACUCGUUUUCUUGGUGAUUCAUGAUAACUUUUCGAAUCGCAUGGCCUAGCGCCGGCGAUAUUUCAUUCAAAUUUCUGCCCUAUCAACUGUCGAUGGUAAGGUAGUGGCUUACCAUGGUUAUAACGGGUGACGGAGAAUUAGGGUUCGAUUCCGGAGAGG
rnacentral:rRNA from 1 species